AUUGAACGCUGGCGGCAGGCCUAACACAUGCAAGUCGAGCGGAUGAAGGGAGCUUGCUCCUGGAUUCAGCGGCGGACGGGUGAGUAAUGCCUAGGAAUCUGCCUGGUAGUGGGGGAUAACGUCCGGAAACGGGCGCUAAUACCGCAUACGUCCUGAGGGAGAAAGUGGGGGAUCUUCGGACCUCACGCUAUCAGAUGAGCCUAGGUCGGAUUAGCUAGUUGGUGGGGUAAAGGCCUACCAAGGCGACGAUCCGUAACUGGUCUGAGAGGAUGAUCAGUCACAUUGGAACUGAGACACGGUCCAGACUACUACGGGAGGGCGCAGUGGGGAAUAUUGGACAAUGGGCGAAAGCCUGAUCCAGCCAUGCCGCGUGUGUGAAGAAGGUCUUCGGAUUGUAAAGCACUUUAAGUUGGGAGGAAGGGCAGUAAGUUAAUACCUUGCUGUUUUGACGUUACCAACAGAAUAAGCACCGGCUAACUUCGUG
rnacentral:rRNA from 1 species